AUUGAACGCUGGCGGCAGGCCUAACACAUGCAAGUCGAGCGGCUGAAGGGUAAUUGCUCCUGGAUUCAGGUGGGGACUAGCGAAUAAUGCCUGGGAACAUCCCUGGCUGCGGGUUCUAAGGUCCGAACAUGGGGGAUCAUACGCUAUACCUCCAGAGGACCUACGUGGGGGAGCUUCGGACCUUACGACCUCGGAUGAGCCUAGGUCGGAUUAGCUAGUUGGUGGGGUAAAGGCCUACCAAGGCGACGAUCCGUAGCUGGUCUGAGAGGAUGAUCAGUCACACUGGAACUGAGACACGGUCCAGACUCCUACGGGAGGCAGCAGUGGGGAAUAUUGGACAAUGGGCGAAAGCCUGAUCCAGCCAUGCCGCGUGUGUGAAGAAGGUCUUCGGAUUGUAAAGCCCUUUAGUUUGGGAAGAAAAGCAGUAAGUUAAUACCUUGCUGUUUUGACGGUACCAAAAGAAUAAGCACCGGCUAACUUCGUG
rnacentral:rRNA from 1 species